UUCAUUGUUUAGUGUGUAAUUUUUAAGACCUUAAAGUGGCUCCCAUUUCCCCCAAGACAAAUCAGCAACAAAUAAACAGGCUUUGACAACAGAGGAUGCAGCCACCUGCCAGCGCACGUCCAGGGUCCUGCAUAGCUUCCUGAGAGAAACCCGAGCUGUGAGUGUAAACCUGAAGGGGACGUUUGUGAGUCGCUGGGGUGAGGUCACCACCUCCACAGCCGGCCACUUCUUCCCCUAAAUAACAGAUGUGGCGUCUGUCCUGCUCCCCAUGUGAGUUUCUGAUUGUAAUUGUCUCUCCAGUGGCUCUCCAACUCAGUAAAGCUUGGUCCUUUUUACAUGUUUGUCAUGCUAAACCAACAGAACUAUUUGAAGUGUAUCUGAUUGUUUUGACUUAUAUACAAAAUGUGUGAGAUCUAUUUCCUACAAGACUGUCUUGCUAAAAUACUUUUUAAUAUAAUGUUGAAUAUAAAAAUAUAUAAUUAUUAUUAUUUUUUUUUACAACUGGCAAACUCUCCUACUGUCUGCAAACGGCCAGUUGUUUGAGAUCAGAUGUCCGUUUACUGUGGAAAAGACAGCAGGCUUCACAACCAGAAACCUUGAGGCCUAAACUCUGUAUUUCCUAUCAGUGAACACAAGGGGAAAAUUACCAGUUUGACUGUCCGCUGUGAAGCUUUGACAGGUGCAUCCAGUCAUACAGUCCCUUAUAUUGCUACUUGGCCAAAAUAUUUCCCCACCGGUUCCCUGGCAACAAGGCAUGCCGGCUGAUGCUGAGCGAGAGUGAGGCGGCGUGCUCUGCUCCCACCGCUGCAGUCCUUCACGUUUCCAAAAAAAUAGCUUCUGCUGUGGAAAUCUCUCUGUCUGCACCACCGCAAAACAGGACAGAGGGGAAAAGGAACACAUGCUGGAUGGA